GUAACCUACCUAUAAGACUGGGAUAACUUCGGGAAACCGGAGCUAAUACCGGAUAAUAUUUCGAACCGCAUGGUUCGAUAGUGAAAGAUGGUUUUGCUAUCACUUAUAGAUGGACCCGCGCCGUAUUAGCUAGUUGGUAAGGUAACGGCUUACCAAGGCGACGAUACGUAGCCGACCUGAGAGGGUGAUCGGCCACACUGGAACUGAGACACGGUCCAGACUCCUACGGGAGGCAGCAGUAGGGAAUCUUCCGCAAUGGGCGAAAGCCUGACGGAGCAACGCCGCGUGAGUGAUGAAGGUCUUCGGAUCGUAAAACUCUGUUAUUAGGGAAGAACAUACGUGUAAGUAACUAUGCACGUCUUGACGGUACCUAAUCAGAAAGCCACGGCUAACUACGUGCCAGCAGCCGCGGUAAUACGUAGGUGGCAAGCGUUAUCCGGAAUUAUUGGGCGUAAAGCGCGCGUAGGCGGUUUUUUAAGUCUGAUGUGAAAGCCCACGGCUCAACCGUGGAGGGUCAUUGGAAACUGGAAAACUUGAGUGCAGAAGAGGAAAGUGGAAUUCCAUGUGUAGCGGUGAAAUGCGCAGAGAUAUGGAGGAACACCAGUGGCGAAGGCGACUUUCUGGUCUGUAACUGACGCUGAUGUGCGAAAGCGUGGGGAUCAAACAGGAUUAGAUACCCUGGUAGUCCACGCCGUAAACGAUGAGUGCUAAGUGUUAGGGGGGUUUCCGCCCCUUAGUGCUGCAGCUAACGCAUUAAGCACUCCCGCCCUGGGGAGUACGACCGCAAGGUUGAAACUCAAAGGAAUUGACGGGGACCCGCACAAGCGGUGGAGCAUGUGGUUUAAUUUCGAAGCAACGCGAAGAACCUU
rnacentral:rRNA from 1 species